rnacentral:rRNA from 1 species
AUUGCGUCGUCCCCUCACGGGCCUUAGGGUGGGUGGGGGCGGAAGUUGGCUUCCCGUGCAUUGUUUGCGGCUAGCCUGAAACACGGUUCCCUCGCCGCGGGCGUCGCGACCAGUGGUGGUCGUCGAGAUUGCACGCGAGUUGCCGGCAAGCUGCGUCGAGGAGAGCAUUUGGACCCUGUCCGUGCGAGAUGAGCCCUUCGCCGAGGGGCAAUUCCAACGAUUGCGACCCCAGGUCAGGC